AGAAGUAAAAUGGAACGUGGGAGCCCCUCCCCUUUUUUGGGAAGGAAAGUAAUCCCUUUGCCUUCCUAAAACAGUCCCAAAGCAACUUUUGGUUUAUCCUUUAUUUAAUACUCUUUCCGUUCACUUUUACUUAUUUAGUAUUCUAAAAAUAAAUUUUUAUUUUUAUUGUUAACUUUUAGUAUAUUAAGAAAAGAUAAUUUAUUUUUUCUUGUUUUACCCAUAGUAUUAAUUGCUCAUUUCAAAUCAUUUUCAAAUUCAAUAAAAAUAUACAUCAAUUAAUAUGGGUACAUUGAUAAAUUAUAUAUUUCAUUUAUUAUUUCUUAAACAACGUGAAAAGUCCAAAGUGGACAAGUAAAGGUAACCGGAGGGAGUAAUUUUUGAUUAAAAAAUUCUGCAUGCAUUUCAGUAGUGUAACAUUAACUUUUGAAGAGUGUAAAAGUUAAUGCUAUUCAAGUGAGUUAAUAUAUUAGAUACUAUUAAUAUGUGAGCCCAUAGAAAAAUUGGUGUCACAGACAUGAGUUCGUAGUUGGUAUGCAAUUCAAAAUCUCAAUGAAUAUACAAAUUAUCAUAGUUACAGGAGAUUAUUCAGAUAUAUAAUUGUAAGUGAAUUUUUACAUUCAAAUCUUCCUCUUUUUGAACUGCUUUUGUGCUUUCUUAAUUUCUUCUUCUUUUUUCAUCUUUAAUUUAGAGAUACAUAUUGUAGAAAGCUAAUCAAAAUUUAAAUUUAGUAAGUAUUUUGAAGGUAAACUAAAUCUCACACGGUAUUGACAAAUAAGCGUAUAAAAGGUGAGUCUUUCAUAAUUGUUUACAGGUAUGUCUUCUUCGUUGUUGAUUUUUUUUUUCCCACUUUUUUCUAUCCAUUCUGUGCUUUUAAUUUUAUUUUUUUUGAUAUUUUGAAUAGCAUGAAAAUUUCAUGUUACCUUACUCGACUAUUACUGAGAGGCUACAAAAAUUGGUGCAAUAAUACAAUAAAUACCACACAUGGGUUACUGGGCAUGCGAGUCGAAGAUGAAAUAAAGAGUCCCUAUAUCCUUGUGGUUAGUGGAGAACAACCAUCGGACCGAAUUUGUGCUUGUCCUAGAAGCAUUAUGGCUUGUCUUAGAAGCCUUUUUCCUUUUCUAUAUUUAGAGGAGCUUGUUUGUAUUGGAAAAUAUAGAAAGGAAUACACAAUUAGUUUUUCCCUAUAUACUUCUC